UUCCGGUUGAUCCUGCCGGACCUGACUGCUAUCGGAUUGAUACUAAGCCAUGCGAGUCAUUGUAGCAAUACAAGGCAGACGGCUCAGUAACGCGUAGUCAACCUAACCUAUGGACGGGAAUAACCUCGGGAAACUGAGAAUAAUGCCCGAUAGAACACUAUACCUGGAAUGGUUUGUGUUCCAAAUGAUUUAUCGCCGUAGGAUGGGACUGCGGCCUAUCAGUUUGUUGGUGAGGUAAUGGCCCACCAAGACUAUUACAGGUACGGGCUCUGAGAGGAGUAGCCCGGAGAUGGGUACUGAGACACGGACCCAGGCCCUAUGGGGCGCAGCAGGUGAGAAAACUUUGCAAUGUGCGAAAGCACGACAAGGUUAAUCCGAGUGGUUUCUGCUAAAGGAACCUUCUGUUAGUCCUAGAAACACUAACGAAUAAGGGGUGGGCAAGUUCUGGUGUCAGCCGCCGCGGUAAAACCAGCACCUCAAGUGGUCAGGAUGAUUAUUGGGCCUAAAGCAUCCGUAGCC
rnacentral:rRNA from 1 species